AUUGAACGCUGGCGGCAGGCCUAACACAUGCAAGUCGAACGAGUGGCGGACUGGUGAGUAAUGUCUGGGAAACUGCCUGAUGGAGGGGGAUAACUACUGGAAACGGUAACUAAUACCGCAUACCAUCAGAUGUUCCCAGAUGGGAUUAGCUUGCGGGUGGGGUAACGGUGCACCAAGGCGACGAUCCCUAGCUGGUCUGAGAGGAUGACCAGCCACACUGGAACUGAGACACGGUCCAGACUCCUACGGGAGGCAGCAGUGGGGAAUAUUGCACAAUGGGCGCAAGCCUGAUGCAGCCAUGCCGCGUGUAUGAAGAAGGCCUUCGGGUUGUAAAGUACUUUCAGCGGGGAGGCGUUACCCGCAGAAGAAGCACCGGCUAACUCCGUGCCAGCAGCCGCGGUAAUUC
rnacentral:rRNA from 1 species